GUCUCAGAGCUGUCCCUCGGAGGAGAACAGUGGACUUCGGUUCCGCCCUUGACUGCAUGGACACGCUAAGUCCACGGGGAGGCACUGGGGGAGCCCAUGCGGCCACGGCGAGGCCAGCCCUCCCACCCAGCUGUUCCAGUGGUUUACCGGAGGAGGGCAGGCCUGCCAUCAAUCACUCCAUCAUGGCAGAAGCUGGCAUUUCACCUGGAGGGCCUUCAGAAAAAAAUCAAUGCGCGGGCCACAUUCCCGAUCAACCAAAUCAGAAUUUACAGGAAGCUCCCCGCAUCGGCAAGUUUAUAGGUCACCAGCCAAAACCCUCCUCUCCGAAGAGAAAUGGCGGUGAAACAGCAGCCCUUCAGCGAGGCCGAUCCUGGGGUGAUGAACUCCCGUUUCUCCAUGCAGUCGCCGCUGUCUACACCGCCUCCGU